GGGUAUAUAGCUUAGUGGUAGAGCACAUGCUUAGCAUGUGUGUGAGGUCCUGGGUUCGAUUCCCCAGUACCUCCA
rnacentral:tRNA from 1 species